rnacentral:rRNA from 1 species
UACGGGAGGCAGCAGUGGGGAAUAUUGCACAAUGGGCGGAAGCCUGAUGCAGCGACGCCGCGUGGGGAUGACGGCCUUCGGGUUGUAAACUCCUUUCGACAGGGACGAAGCUUUUUGUGACGGUACCUGUAUAAGAAGCACCGGCUAACUACGUGCCAGCAGCCGCGGUAAUACGUAGGGUGCGAGCGUUGUCCGGAAUUACUGGGCGUAAAGAGCUCGUAGGUGGUUUGUCGCGUCGUCUGUGAAAUUUCCGGGGCUUAACUCCGGGCGUGCAGGCGAUACGGGCAUAACUUGAGUGCUGUAGGGGAGACUGGAAUUCCUGGUGUAGCGGUGAAAUGCGCAGAUAUCAGGAGGAACACCGGAUGGCGAAGGCAGGUCUCUGGGCAGUUACUGACGCUGAGGAGCGAAAGCAUGGGUAGCGAACAGGGAUUAGAUACC